UACGUAGGGGGCAAGCGUUGUCCGGAAUCAUUGGGCGUAAAGCGCGUGUAGGCGGUUCGGUAAGUCUGCUGUGAAAGUCCAGGGCUCAACCCUGGGAUGCCGGUGGAUACUGUCGAACUAGAGUACGGAAGAGGCGAGUGGAAUUCCCGGUGUAGCGGUGAAAUGCGCAGAUAUCGGGAGGAACACCAAUGCGAAGGCAGCUCGCUGAGACGUCACUGACGCUGAGACGCGAAAGCGUGGGGAGCAAACAGGG
rnacentral:rRNA from 1 species